UUAACUCCAGAAAUUCCCAUCUUCUGACACAAUCUUACACAUGUUAACGUGACACUCCAGUUUAAAUUUCGUGGCAAUCGGAGUUGUAGAACUCCGGUUAUAGCGAUUUUCGUCGGAAAAUCACAAAAAUUGAAAUGGUCAUAACUUGGUCGUUUUAACUCGGAAUUAGCUCAUUUUUGGACACGAGCUACAUAAUACCAUAUAUUUUCAUUUUCCAAAAGCCCGGAAUUUUUCUCAGAAGAAAAGUUGACAAAACAGCCCUUGCAAAAUAUUAGCAGCUUACUUUUUGUACUUUGGCAGUUUUGGAGUCCUUUACCAAAACUUAAAUAAAAUGAAAUCUAUAACUCCGAUUAAUGAUCUGUAAAUUUUGUUGGAUUCCUAUCUUUCCGAAAUACAUUUUUCAUCUAUCACAAUCCAUAUUUGGACAUGUUAAGCUCCCGGAAAUUAGCCCGGAAGUGGCUGCUAAAAACUGUUGCUCUAACAGUUUUUCUUACAUUUGAGUAGUUUGGGAGAAAUUUCAUAACUCUCUCCUCUGAUGUCGGAUUUAGUCCGUUUCGGAGUCUAUGGAAAGCUUAUUGAGUGUACUAUAACAUACCAAAAGCACAGAAUUUUUAGAGCAAGCUAGCUAACACCGAAAAUUUCUUUUUAGGUCAGCAGUUUACUAGUUUUCAUACUUUAGAAAAUUAGUUUUCUUUCCCUUCCUUACUUAAGCUUUUCACUACCAAAAAUGGUUAGAUCUACUUAUAAAACACUCUAAAUCAUGUAGAUCUAGAGUUUUGAAGAUCAAGAACAUAACUCCAUGUUUUGAUUUAAAACAACAAGAAUAAC
rnacentral:lncRNA from 1 species